ensembl:snRNA Gm24099 predicted gene, 24099
GUGCUUGCUUCGGCAACACAUAUACUAAAAUUGGACAGAAACAGAGAAGAUUAGUAUGGCCCCUACACAAGGAUGACAUAAGAAUUCAUGAAGCAUUCCAUGUUUUU